rnacentral:rRNA from 1 species
AACCUGCGGAAGGAUCAUUAUCGAUGGCCGCGCCGUGAGCGCCUAGCGCAAUCGGCCGGCCACUGACCACACCCUUACUUUACGAGCACCUUUUGUUCUCCUUCGGCGGGGCGACCCGCCGCUGGAACCUCAUCACGAACCUUUUUUGCAUCUAGCAUUACCUGUUCUGAUAAAUUUAAUCGUUACAACUUUCAACAAUGGAUCUCUUGGCUCUGGCAUCGAUGAAGAACGCAGCGAAAUGCGAUAAGUAGUGUGAAUUGCAGAAUUCAGUGAAUCAUCGAAUCUUUGAACGCACAUUGCGCCCCUUGGUAUUCCAUGGGGCAUGCCUGUUCGAGCGUCAUCUACACCCUCAAGCUCUGCUUGGUGUUGGGCGUCUGUCCCGCCUCCGCGCGCGGACUCGCCCCAAAGGCAUUGGCAGCGGUCCACGGCCCCUCUCGCGCAGCACAUUGCGCUUCUCGAGGCGGUCCGGCCCGCGUCCACGAAGCCCACAUUACCGUCUUUGACCUCGGAUCAGGUAGGGAUACCCGCUGAACUUAAGCAUAUCAAUAAGCG